rnacentral:lncRNA from 1 species
CACGACUCUAAGGCUCCGUAGUAGAGUGGGUUAUUAGUUCCAGCUCUGGGACUUCCCUAAUCAUGGUAGGACUGUACUCUUGAACCCCUUGGGCUGUGUGGGACCAAGUGGCAAUUUUAACCAUUGCCUGCAUGGAAAUGAUGCAUGUGACUUCCAGACUAGAGUAUUUAAAUGCAGUAUGAGACUCUGCAGUUUCCUUUCCUUCUACCACACAAGCAUAAUGGUUCUCUUUGGAUUCCAGAAGGACAAUGUAGAAUUGGUUCCUCAGCCAAAGUAUGAUGGACAGGUAGCAUAAGUGAAAAAUAUACCUUGCUUUUUAGUCACUGAGGUUAUGGGAUUUUAUUGUAACCCAAACUAGCCUUUCCUCUUCCCCUUGACCAUAGUACCAGGAGUGUUCCAAAAUGCAGGAAAAGGGCAGCUUUGUUUGAAAAGAGAGGCCACAUCAAGCUCCUCCUGUGGCACUGGGGUCACUGAGUAGUUAAGAGCUUACAGGUGUGUGUUAAAUUAGCAAACCUGUUGGGCUUUGUUCUGGAAACUGACAGGGACCAGAAGGGAACUUCAGAACAGCUGUAAAGACUGCAGAAAUUGUGGAGACCCCUUGUGCCAGAUGGCCUGACCCAGGGGUCCCUGAGUUGGGGUGUGGACUACCAGAGCUUCAAGGGCUUUACUGUGCAUGCUCCAGGUUGUUUCUCAUUUGAGUUUCUCCCUCCCUCCCUUCUUCCCUCCCUCCCUCUCUUUCUCCUUCCCUUCUUCCCUCUCUUCCUUCCUUUUCACUCAAAAAUCGAGUUUGUAUCCCAGGCACUGUGCUGUCCUGGAACUCCAGUGGUGAGUAAAACCACCACAGUAGUGACCAUCAUGUGACUUAACCUGCUCGCAGAGAUGAGGCUAGGGAUCAUGGGAGCAGAGGCAACCAGCCACAAUUGCAAUAGAGGCUCCAGGGUUCCCCACUAACAGGUGGAGGACUCGCCCUCGUCAUCCUUGAUGAUAACUGCAUUUUCCUUCUAACCCUUCCCAGUUAGUUCCCUGCUCUCUUUGCCAGUCUGCCUUUUUCUCAUAGUUCCCCUCAGCAGGCUGCCCAUUUCUGACAUUGCCCCAUAGUCGCUUGUCUUCUACCACACCCCAUGUCCUCAGUCUUGCAGUCUCUUUAGACUUCACUGCUCACUGUACAACCUAGUGGAACCCACAGCCAUUGUCUCGCCACCACUGCCUGCAGCUCAUCUAGGAUCCCGGCUGUCUUGCUGUCACCUUUUUCCAGGUGUGUUCAGCCAGGGAAGCUGUCUGCAACAGGCAUUCCUCCAAAACUGACAUCCUGCUUGUAUGAGAAGCCUUCAUGAUGAACAUGACCUUCUUGGCAGUGAGAGGUCAGUAUGGGAGUGCUGGAAUGGGAGGGACAGCUUCUGGGUCUGGCCCCCAUCUCACAUCUGGAAGCAGGGAAGACCUUGCCUCUGCUCUGCCAGUGUGGCCUGAGAGUUUGGUGCAAUGUAAAUAUGAGCAUUCCAGUCUACCUGCCCCCAUCCCACAAGCUGCAUAGACCUUAUCUAUUUGGCUUUCUCUUGUUCUUCUCUGCCAGGUCACUACCACUAGCAGGUGUUGCUGUGUAGAAGCAUGGCAGAUGUCCUCAACUUGAAUUCUGGUUCCAGCACAUACUGAUGUUCAAUGUAUUAUUUAACUUCUCUGUGCCUGAUUUUUUUUCCUCCAGUAAGAUGCACAUUAAAUAAUACCUCACUCAUGGGGUUCUCUUAUAAGAGAAUCCACAUAAAGU